rnacentral:rRNA from 1 species
UACGUAGGGUGCGAGCGUUAAUCGGAAUUACUGGGCGUAAAGUGUGCGCAGGUGGCUGAGCAAGUCGAGUGUGAAAUCCCCGGGCUUAACUUGGGAAUUGCGCUCGAAACUACUUGGCUCGAGUGUGGCAGAGGAAGGUGGAAUUCCAGGUGUAGCGGUGAAAUGCGUAGAGAUCUGGAGGAACACCGAUGGCGAAGGCAGCCUUCUGGGCCAACACUGACGCUGAUGCACGAAAGCGUGGGGAGCAAACAGG